AGAAUUGAUCUGGUUCAGGACGAACGCUGGCGGCGUGCCUAACACAUGCAAGUCGAGCGAGGAGAUUCCUCGGGAUGAUCCUAGCGGCGGACGGGUGAGUAACACGUGGGCAACCUGCCUCAUAGAGAGGAAUAGCCUUCCGAAAGGGAGAUUAAUACCUCAUAACAUUGCAGUUUCGCAUGGAACAGCAAUUAAAGGAGUAAUCCGCUAUGAGAUGGGCCCGCGGCGCAUUAGCUAGUUGGUGAGGUAACGGCUCACCAAGGCGACGAUGCGUAGCCGACCUGAGAGGGUGAUCGGCCACAUUGGGACUGAGACACGGCCCAGACUCCUACGGGAGGCAGCAGUGGGGAAUAUUGCACAAUGGGGGAAACCCUGAUGCAGCCAACGCCGCGUGAGUGAUGACGGCCUUCGGGUUGUAAAGCUCUGUCUUCAGGGACGAUAAUGACGGUACCUGAGGAGGAAGCCACGGCUAACUACGUGCCAGCAGCAGC
rnacentral:rRNA from 1 species